AUUGAACGCUGGCGGCAGGCUUAACACAUGCAAGUCGAGCGGAGACUUCGGUCUUAGCGGCGAACGGGUGAGUAAUACCUAGGAAUCUGCCUAUUAGUGGGGGAUAACGAAUCGAAAGGUUCGCUAAUACCGCAUACGUCCUACGGGAGAAAGGGGGGAGUCUUCGGACCUCUCGCUAAUAGAUGAGCCUAGGCCGGAUUAGCUAGUUGGUAGGGUAAAGGCCUACCAAGGCGACGAUCUGUAGCUGGUCUGAGAGGAUGGCCAGCCACACUGGAACUGAGACACGGUCCAGACUCCUACGGGAGGCAGCAGUGGGGAAUAUUGGACAAUGGGCGCAAGCCUGAUCCAGCAAUGCCGCGUGUGUGAAGAAGGCC
rnacentral:rRNA from 1 species